UGGCUGUGUGGGUAACUGUGUGGCUAACGCUACUUUCUCCUGCCUUUCAGAUGCAAUCGGCUGCAUUUAACCAGACGAGACAGUGACCGCGGCACCUGAGCCUCGGUGGCGGGAUGGCGGUGGAUGAUGGAGGCAGCCCAAACAGCUCUACAACUGCCGACUUGAUUGGUGGAGAUGACGGGAAGCACAAAAGCUACAGUAGUAACAUUAAACACGGCCCAUUUCUGGAGAAGAAUCGGAGAAGUGUGCAGAACGACUGGAUGCUAUUUCCAUCAGGAACCCAACUGUUACUGAAGGAGCAGGAGAGCAGAAGGCUGUCACCUUUUGUCCCUUACCACCCAGCACAAGCUAGCAGCAGGUAGGACCUCACAGAGGAACUGCCACCCAGCCCUGAAGCCCUGGAGCUCUCUAGAGAGAUGUCUGCAGCUCCAACACACCCAUCUGGGAUAUAGAAAGGGAGACAUCUGGGCACCCUGACCUACGAGGGGAGAGGAGCUCCUCAGCAGGCCUGUCUCACAGCAGUUUAGCUCCCAUGGGACAGAAGUUAGGGUGAUUGCUUGUCAAGACCCAUUUAGCUCCCAGUGAGAGCUCAGUGUGUGGGGCUAAGAUUACACACAUCCAACAGUACACUUAGAGCUCUUCAUUUGCAGAGA
rnacentral:lncRNA from 1 species